rnacentral:rRNA from 1 species
GACGAACCGUGCGAACGUUGUUCGGAAUCACUGGCAUAAAGGGCGCGUAGGCGGCUUAUCAAGUCAGGGUGAAUCCGGCAGCUCAACUGUCGAAGUGCCCUUGAUACUGACCGAGCUCGAGGGAGGUAGGGUGUGUGGAACUUCCGGUGGAGCGGUGAAUGCGUUGAUAUCGGAAGGAACGCCGGUGGCGAAGCGACACACUGGACCUCUUCUGACG